UACGUAGGGUCCAAGCGUUAUCCGGAAUCACUGGGCGUAAAGCGUGCGUAGGUGGCGUGUUAAGUGUGAUGUUAAAUCGUGUGGCUCAACCAUAUCGAUGUGUCGCAUACUGGCAUGCUAGAGGACAGCAGAGGCAAGUGGAAUUUGUAGUGUAGCAGUGAAAUGCGUAGAUAUUAAAGGAACACCAAUGGCGAAGGCAGCUUGCUGGGCUACUCCUGACACUGAGGUACGAAAGCGUGGGGAGCGAACAGG
rnacentral:rRNA from 1 species